GACGGAGGAUGCAAGCGUUAUCCGGAAUGAUUGGGCGUAAAGCGUCCGCAGGUGGCAGUUCAAGUCUGCUGUCAAAGACCGGGGCUUAACUUCGGAAAGGCAGUGGAAACUGAACAGCUAGAGUAUGGUAGGGGCAACUGGAAUUCUCGGUGUAGCGGUGAAAUGCGUAGAUAUCUGGAGGAACACCGGUGGCGAAGGCGGCAUCCUGGACCGGCAUUGACGCUGAGGAGCGAAAGCUAGGGGAGCAAACGGG
rnacentral:rRNA from 1 species